rnacentral:pre_miRNA from 1 species
GAAUGGUGUUAAUGAUAAUUAACAGAAUGAACUCUGUGACUCUUGUAGCAAUGCGUACUACGCAUUGCUACAAGAGUCACAGAGUUCAUUCUGUUAAUUAUCAUUAACA